rnacentral:tRNA from 1 species
GCAAGGUAUGGCGCGGUGACGAACGCCAGCGGUGUCAUCGCCACCGCCAUCAUCUGGUUCAUCGCCAGCACCCUGCCC